rnacentral:rRNA from 1 species
GAAAAAUGGGCGCCGACGCGCUGGGAAUAUCAGCGGCCCCAAGCGGUGUUCGGAUGCUCUGGGCGUAAAGGUUGCGUAGGUGGUCAGUGACUUCGGAUGUGAAAUAGCGGUGCUCCACUCCGAAACGGCAUUGGAAACUACCUUGCUCGAGGAAUGGAGGGGUGACUGGAAUUCUCGGUGUAGCAGUGAAAUGCGUAGAUAUCGAGAGGAACACCAGUGGCGAAGGCGAGUCCCUGGACAUCUCCUGACACUGAGGCACGAAAGCUAGGGGAGCAAACAGGAUUAGAUACCCGAGUAGUC